UACGAAUGGAGCGCGCGUUGUUCGGAAUCACUGGGCGUAAAGGGUGCGCAGGCGGUCAUGAAAGUUAGAAGUGAAAGCCCAGGGCUUAACCCUGGAAUUGCUUUUAAAACUCCAUGACUAGAGUAUUGGAGAGGUUAGCGGAAUUCCGAGUGUAGAGGUGAAAUUCGUAGAUAUUCGGAGGAACACCAGUGGCGAAGGCGGCUCACUGGUCCAUUACUGACGCUGAGGUGCGAAAGCGUGGGGAGCAAACAGG
rnacentral:rRNA from 1 species